rnacentral:rRNA from 1 species
ACAUGUAGCCAUACCACCUUGAGAACAGCUGGUCUCAUCUGAUGUGGGAAGCUAAGCAGGGUCGGGCCCGGUCAGUACUUGGAUGGGAGACCAGGUGGGAACAGCGGGUGCUGUGGGCU